rnacentral:rRNA from 1 species
GAGGAACACCAGUGGCGAAGGCGGCUCUCUGGUCUGUAACUGACGCUGAGGCUCGAAAGCGUGGGGAGCGAACAGGAUUAGAUACCCUGGUAGUCCACGCCGUAAACGAUGAGUGCUAAGUGUUGGAGGGUUUCCGCCCUUCAGUGCUGCAGCAAACGCAUUAAGCACUCCGCCUGGGGAGUACGACCGCAAGGUUGAAACUCAAAGGAAUUGACGGGGGCCCGCACAAGCGGUGGAGCAUGUGGUUUAAUUCGAAGCAACGCGAAGAACCUUACCAGGUCUUGACAUCCUUUGACCACUCUAGAGAUAGAGCUUCCCCUUCGGGGGCAAAGUGACAGGUGGUGCAUGGUUGUCGUCAGCUCGUGUCGUGAGAUGUUGGGUUAAGUCCCGCAACGAGCGCAACCCUUAUUGUUAGUUGCCAUCAUUUAGUUGGGCACUCUAGCGAGACUGCCGGUGACAAACCGGAGGAAGGUGGGGAUGACGUCAAAUCAUCAUGCCCCUUAUGACCUGGGCUACACACGUGCUACAAUGGGAAGUACAACGAGUUGCGAAGUCGCGAGGCUAAGCUAAUCUCUUAAAGCUUCUCUCAGUUCGGAUUGUAGGCUGCAACUCGCCUACAUGAAGCCGGAAUCGCUAGUAAUCGCGGAUCAGCACGCCGCGGUGAAUACGUUCCCGGGCCUUGUACACAC